rnacentral:rRNA from 1 species
GACGAACGCUGGCGGCGUGCUUAACACAUGCAAGUCGAACGGAAAGGCCCUGCUUUUGUGGGGUGCUCGAGUGGCGAACGGGUGAGUAACACGUGAGUAACCUGCCCUUGCCUUUGGGAUAACUUCAGGAAACUGGGGCUAAUACCGGAUAGGAGCUCCUGCUGCAUGGUGGGGGUUGGAAAGUUUCGGCGGUUGGGGAUGUACUCGCGGCUUAUCAGCUUGUUGGUGGGGUAGGGGCUUUCCAAGGCUUUGACGGGUAGCCGGCCUGAGAGGGUGACCGGCCACAUUGGGACUGAGAUACGGCCCAGACUCCUACGGGAGGCAGCAGUGGGGAAUAUUGCACUAUGGGCGGAAGCCUGAUGCAGGAACGCCGCGUGCGGGAUUACGGCCUUCGGGUUGUAAACCGCUUUCGCCUGUGACGAAGCGUGAGUGACGGUAAUGGGUAAAGAAGCACCGGCUAACUACGUG